CGCCUGCCCUGUGACAAAUGUUCAACGGCCGCGGUAUUUUGACCGUGCAAAGGUAGCGCAAUCACUUGUCUUUUAAAUGAAGACCUGUAUGAAUGGCAUCACGAGGGUUUAGCUGUCUCCUUUUUCUAGUCAAUGAAAUUGAUCUUCCCGUGCAGAAGCGGGAAUAUUAACAUAAGACGAGAAGACCCUAUGGAGCUUUAGACACAAGGUAGGUCUUGUUAAAUACUUCAAAAUAAAGAAAUAAACUAAAAGAACAUCUGCCACAAUGUCUUUGGUUGGGGCGACCACGGGGAAAUAAACAACCCCCACGCGGACUGAGAAAACAAUUCUCACAACAAAGAACCACAGCUCUAAUUAACAGAACUUCUGACCUUAUAGAUCCGGUUUAAUACCGAUCAACGGACCGAGUUACCCUAGGGAUAACAGCGCAAUCCUCUUUUAGAGUCCAUAUCGACAAGAGGGUUUACGACCUCGAUGUUGGAUCAGGACAUCCUAAUGGUGCAGCAGCUAUUAAGGGUUCGUUUGUUCAACGAUUAAAGUCCU
rnacentral:rRNA from 1 species